GCUGGGCAUGGUGGCAUGUGCCUGUAGUAGUCCCAGGUGAUCGGGAGGCUGAUACAGGAGGAGCUCCCUCUUGAGCCCAGGAGUUCUGGGCUGUAGCGUGCUAUGCCAAUCCAGUGUCUACACUAAGUUCAGCAUCAAUAUGCUGGCCUCCCAGGAGUGGGGGACCACCUGGUUGCUUAAGGAGGGGUGAACUGGCCCAAGUCAGAAAUGGAGCAGGUCAAAACUCCAAUGCUGAUCAGUAAUGAGAGUGUACAUGUGAAUAACCACUGCACCUCAACCUGGGCAAUAUAAUGAGACUCUGUCUCU
rnacentral:SRP_RNA from 1 species